AAUUAUCCAGUCGCUCUGUUUCUCAGGCAGUCAAUUUAUUUAAGACAAAGUAAAUAGCGAAUUAAAAAUUUUUUGGUAUUAAGUGAAAAUUCUCAUUUUAAUAUAAAAAUUAUGGUUUAAAUUUGUGUUUUUUUGGUUUAAUUUUUGUGUAAUGUUGAAUUUUGUUAUCCAAAUCUGUGUUCGAUCGACCUCAAUAAUGGUGGUUAGUGAAGCUUUUGGUGAGGAUUAUAUUUAUUUCUAGCACCUGGUGAAAGCAGCUUAUGUAGUAUGGAGUUGGUUCCUGAAGAUUAGAAGGCGUUAUAUUUUGCUGUGAGGUUUGGCUUCUUGAAGACGAAGCUACGUACUAUUUAAUUUGGGAAUUGAAGAAGGAUUUUAAUUUAUCCUAUGUUGUUCUGUCCUUAUUGCUAUCAGUCUUUUCUAGUCUGGUUUACAGGUAAGUGUCUAGAUGAUUGUUGAUAGCUAUUGUGACAAAGGGUUACGAGAGCUAAACCGUCAGCUAUAUGAUGGAAAUGAGAAAUACAAAUGGAGUUGUGGCUGAGGAACUUGGGACGCUAGAAGGAGAUGACCUGAAAGUUGACAAGAUUGCACAAAAUGUUAAAGAUUGUCAUGUCGGGGUUGUUCAGGCCCCUGCUGUGCUCCAGAUACAACAGCAACAGCCUCAAAGUGCAUCGGGUUGUUGGGAGAGGUUUCUGCAUCAGGCAUCAAUUAAGGUUCUGCUUGUAGAAAAUGAUGAUUCUACUCGCCAUGUUGUUGCCGCACUUCUGCGCAAUUGCAGAUACGAAGUUAUUGAAGCUGCAAGUGGACUGCAAGCAUGGAAAAUACUAGAAGACUUGACCAAUCAUAUUGAUCUUGUAUUGACUGAGGUGUUUAUGCCCUGCUUUUCUGGCAUUUUUCUUUUGAGCAAGAUUAUGAGCCACAAAACACGUAAAAAUGUUCCUGUGAUCAUGAUGUCAUCUCAUGAUUCAAUUGGUAUAGUCUUUAAGUGUUUGUCAAAAGGUGCAGUUGACUUUUUAGUGAAGCCUAUUCGAAAGAAUGAGCUUAAGAACCUUUGGCAGCAUGUUUGGAGGAGAUGCCAUAGUUCUAGUGGUAGUGGUAGUGGAAGUGAGAGUGGAACGCAAACUCAAAAAUCAGAGAAAUCAGGAAGUGUUGAGAAUUCUGACAACAGUGGCAGCAACGACGAGGAAGAUAAUGAGAAUAACGGUCUAAAUGUUGGGGAUGGUAGUGAUGAUGGGAGUGGCACUCAGAGUUCUUGGACGAAACAAGCAGCAGAAAUCAAAAGCCCCAGUCCAGUCUCACCUCAGGAUCGAGUUGCUGAGUGCCCUGAUAGUACAUGUGCUCAAGUUAUCCAUUCAAAUGCAGAAGCAUCUGGGAACAAAGGGGUGCCAGCAACUGCACCUAGAGGGUGCCAAGAAUUAGAUGAACAGCUUGAUGAUGUUCCAAUGGGUAAAGGCCUGGAUAUACGCAUGGCAGGAAGUGUAGAUUUACAACGAGAGCGCCCAGUUGAGGUCCCAAUCAAAACAAUUGGAGCGAACCAAAUUAACCUACUUGAGAUGAGCUUCAAUAAAUUGAAUGAACCAAUUGAUAAAAGGCAGCUGGAUCUCAAUACCAAAAGCUCAUCUGGCGAAUUAAAUUCUGAAGCUGCUCAUCAAACCGACAUCACCUCUAAAACUAAUGAUCUUAAGAAGGAAAGUACAGAGUAUGAGGCUUCAAACAGGAUUUCCAAGAUCUCAGAUGGCAAUGAUAAAACCACUGAUGAUUCUAAAGAAGUACUGCCUUCUACUGAACUUGGGUUUAAAAGACUUAGAGGAGCUGAAGACUCUGAGGCCAUGUUGAGGGAUGAGCGAAAUGUUUUGAGACGUUCAAACUCUUCGGCCUUCUCAAGGUAUAAUAUGGCAUCGAAUGCAAAUAAGUUUUCCUUUGUCAACACCGGAAGCUCAUCUGCACGUGAUAGUAAGUUAGAACUGACAAGAAAACGAUCAGUAUGCGAUGUUCAAUCUCCUUUGGUUAAUGACCUUCCCAAUCAGUACUCAAAUGUUGGUAGCAAUAACAUCAAUAUGGCCUCUACAACUGAUAAUGCUUUUGCCAAGCCAGCUGUUUUGAAGAAUAAGUCAGCUUCAUCAUCCACAUUCAGAUUGGGACAUCCAUCGUCUGCCUUCCAGCCUAUGAAAAAUGACCUUUUAAAUGCGGCUCGGAAACCCGUAUUAGACAAAGCUGAUGGUGUAACUACUAAAGCUGGACUCAAACAGCCUAGACUGACUCACCAAGAACUUGAUAUGCAAGACCGCCUACAGCAUCAGCAGCCAACUGAUCAUGACACAUUAUCUUUGAAAAAAAUGGCUGCAGACGCUCCCCAUUGUGGGUCAUCCAAUGUGUUGGGUGGGCCUGUUCCUGUUGAAGGAAAUGCUGGCAACUACAGUGUCAAUGGAAGUAACUCGGGUAGUAACCACGCAAGCAAUGGGCCACAUGGAAGUAGCACCCUAGCCGAUACUGUAGGGACAAACAUAGAAAGCGAUAAUGGAAUAGCUGGGAAAAGUGGAAGCGGUGGAAGUGGUGAUGCAAGUGGGACAGGGAGCGGGCGCGGGAGUGGAAGCAAGGUAGACCAAAGCAAAUCUGCAUGUCGGGAAGCUGCAUUGACCAAAUUUCGACAGAAGCGAAAAGAUCGAUGCUUCCGGAAAAAGGUCCGAUAUCAAAGUAGGAAAAGGUUAGCACAACAACGACCUAGUAUCCGAGGGCAAUUCGUGUGACAAACGGUGAACACCAAUGACCCCUCAUCUGAAGGCAAUCCAUCCGACAAAUAGCAAAGAGGAAAACACUAGAAGAGUCCAGCUGAUAAGGUAACAAGAUUUGAUCCACUCCUCUGAUAAAAUACCUUGUUGUAAUAUUAUUUGGGAAUGUUAAAAAGACUUGAUGAACUCCUUUUUUUAUUGUUAUAUUUAUUGUUAUAAGCUUUAAAAAAUGUGCCUUAAAGGGGAACUGAAAGAAGGCAGAAAAACUUCUAUAAUAAUUAUCCAUUUUGUGUUGUCUAUUGGAUCGAUGAAACAUCAUUAAACACUACUGCUUGCUUUGAUAAA